rnacentral:rRNA from 1 species
GGCUCAGAUGAAACGCUGGCGGAAUGCUUUACACAUGCAAGUCGAACGGCAGCACGGGGGCAACCCUGGUGGCGAGUGGCGAACGGGUGAGUAAUACAUCGGAACGUGCCCAGUCGUGGGGGAUAACUACGCGAAAGCGUAGCUAAUACCGCAUACGAUCUACGGAUGAAAGCGGGGGAUCGCAAGACCUCGCGCGAUUGGAGCGGCCGAUGGCAGAUUAGGUAGUUGGUGGGGUAAAGGCUCACCAAGCCUGCGAUCUGUAGCUGGUCUGAGAGGACGACCAGCCACACUGGGACUGAGACACGGCCCAGACUCCUACGGGAGGCAGCAGUGGGGAAUUUUGGACAAUGGGCGCAAGCCUGAUCCAGCCAUUCCGCGUGCAGGAUGAAGGCCCUCGGGUUGUAAACUGCUUUUGUACGGAACGAAAAGGCUCUUUCUAAUACAAGGGGCUCAUGACGGUACCGUAAGAAUAAGCACCGGCUAACUACGUGCCAGCAGCCGCGGUAAUACGUAGGGUGCAAGCGUUAAUCGGAAUUACUGGGCGUAAAGCGUGCGCAGGCGGUGAUGUAAGACAGUUGUGAAAUCCCCGGGCUCAACCUGGGAACUGCAUCUGUGACUGCAUCGCUGGAGUGCGGCAGAGGGGGAUGGAAUUCCGCGUGUAGCAGUGAAAUGCGUAGAUAUGCGGAGGAACACCGAUGGCGAAGGCAAUCCCCUGGGCCUGCACUGACGCUCAUGCACGAAAGCGUGGGGAGCAAACAGGAUUAGAUACCCUGGUAGUCCACGCCCUAAACGAUGUCAACUGGUUGUUGGAUCUUCACUGACUCAGUAACGAAGCUAACGCGUGAAGUUGACCGCCUGGGGAGUACG